AUUGAACGCUAGCGGCAUGCUUUACACAUGCAAGUCGAACGAGUGGCGGACGGGUGAGUAAUAUAUCGGAACGUGCCUAGUAGCGGGGGAUAACUACCGGAAACUGGGGCUAAUACCGCAUACUAUUGGAUGGGCCGGUAUCGGAUUAGCUAGUUGGUGGGGUAAAGGCCCACCAAGGCCACGAUCCGUAACUGGUCUGAGAGGAUGAUCAGCCACACUGGAACUGAGACACGGGCCAGACUCCUACGGGAGGCAGCAGGGGGGAAUUGUGGACAAUGGGGGAAAGCCUGAUCCAGCCAUCCCGAGUGGGUGAGAAGGCCUUCGGAUUGUAAAGCACUUUAAGCUGGGAGGCGGUACCUGCAGAAUAAGCACCGGCUAACUACGUGCCAGCCGCCGCGGUAAUAC
rnacentral:rRNA from 1 species